rnacentral:rRNA from 1 species
GACAGAGGGUGCAAACGUUGCUCGGAUUUACUGGGCGUAAAGCGCAUGUAGGCGGGCGAUUAAGUCGGGGGUGAAAUCCCUGGGCUCAACCUAGGAACUGCAUCCGAAACUGAUCACCUUGAGUAGUGGAGAGGAAAGCGGAAUUCCGGGUGUAGAGGUGAAAUUCGUAGAUAUCCGGAGGAACACCAGUGGCGAAGGCGGCUUUCUGGACACUAACUGACGCUGAGAUGCGAAAGCGUGGGGAGCAAACAGG